UCCGACCUCAGAUCGGACGAGAUU
rnacentral:rRNA from 24 species